rnacentral:tRNA from 1 species
UGCUUAGUAGUUAAUAUAAAUAUAACUAGGAACUGCAAAUUCUUUAUAGUCUAAUCAGACCUGAGCUU